UACGAAGGGGGCUAGCGUUGCUCGGAAUCACUGGGCGUAAAGCGCACGUAGGCGGCUUUCUAAGUCAGGGGUGAAAUCCUGGAGCUCAACUCCAGAACUGCCUUUGAUACUGGGGAGCUCGAGUCCGGAAGAGGUGAGUGGGAACUCCGAGUGUAGAGGUGAAAAUUCGUAGAUAUUCGGAAGAACACCAGUGGCGAAGGACGGCCUGCCACAGGUCCCGGGUUACCU
rnacentral:rRNA from 1 species